UGGGGAAUUUUGCACAAUGGAGGAAACUCUGAUGCAGCGACGCCGCGUGAGUGAUGAAGAUCUUUGGAUUGUAAAACUCUGUCCUUAGUGAAGAUAAUGACAGUAACUAAGAAGCAAGCCCUGGCUAAAUACGUGCCAGCAGCCGCGGUAAUACGUAUGGGGCAAGCGUUGUCCGGUAUUAUUGGGCGUAAAGGGUACGUAGGCGGUUUAAUAAGUCCUAAUUAAAAGGCUAUGGCUCAACCAUAGUAUGGUUAGGAAACUGUUGAACUUGAGUAGAUCAGGGGAAAGUGGAAUUCCAUGUGUAGCGGUGAAAUGCGUAGAUAUAUGGAGGAACACCAAUGGCGAAGGCAACUUUCUGGCAUCAAACUGACGCUGAGGUACGAAGGCGUGGGGAGCAAACAGG
rnacentral:rRNA from 1 species